AGCCUUUGUGUUGACCAUUCACUUUUGGACACUAGUAAAUGUAGCAUCAAAAAGGCAUAAACUAAACAACUUUACAGCCCUUUCCUUCCUUGAAUUUCACGUCUUUGGUUUAGGAGCUUGUAGGGAAAAUGA